ensembl:snRNA U6 U6 spliceosomal RNA
GUGCUUGCAUCGGCAGCACAUACACUAAAAUUGGAAUGGUACAGAGAAGAUUAGCAUGGCCCCUGCGCAAGGAUGACACGCAGAUUCGCGAAGCGUUCCAUAUUUUU